CUACGGGGUGCUGCAGUGAGGAAUAUUGCACAAUGGGGGGAACCCUGAUGCAGCAACGCCGCGUGGAGGAUGACGCAUUUCGGUGUGUAAACUCCUUUUAUAUGUCAAGAAAAUGACGGUAGCAUAUGAAUAAGCACCGGCUAACUCCGGUGCCAGCAGCCGCGGUAAUACGGAGGGUGCAAGCGUUACUCGGAAUCACUGGGCGUAAAGGACGCGUAGGCGGGUUGGAAAGUCAGGUGUGAAAUCCUACAGCUUAACUCUAGAACUGCACUUGAAACUUCUAAUCUAGAGUAUGGGAGGGGGAGAUGGAAUUAGUGGUGUAGGGGUAAUAUCCGUAGAUAUCACUAGGAAUACCUAAAGCGAAGGCGAUCUCCUGGAACAUUACUGACGCUAAGGCGUGAAAGCGUGGGGAGCAAACAGGAUUAGAUACCCCUGUAGUC
rnacentral:rRNA from 1 species